rnacentral:rRNA from 1 species
UACAGGGGGGGCAAGCGUUGUUCGGAAUUACUGGGCGUAAAGAGCUCGUAGGCGGUCUGUCGCGUCGGCUGUGAAAACUCGGGGCUCAACCCCGAGCCUGCAGUCGAUACGGGCAGACUAGAGUGCUGUAGGGGAGACUGGAAUUCCUGGUGUAGCGGUGAAAUGCGCAGAUAUCAGGAGGAACACCGGUGGCGAAGGCGGGUCUCUGGGCAGUAACUGACGCUGAGGAGCGAAAGCGUGGGGAGCGAACAGG